CUUGGCGGCCAUAGCGCGGUGGUCCCACCUGAUCCCAUGCCGAACUCAGAAGUGAAACGCCGUAGCGCCGAUGGUA
rnacentral:rRNA from 1 species